rnacentral:rRNA from 1 species
ACGGAAGGCAGCAGUGGGGAAUAUUGGACAAUGGGGGAAACCCUGAUCCAGCGACGCCGCGUGAGUGAAGAAGUAUUUCGGUAUGUAAAGCUCUAUCAGCAAGGAAGAAAAUGACGGUACUUGACUAAGAAGCUCCGGCUAAAUACGUGCCAGCAGCCGCGGUAAUACGUAUGGAGCAAGCGUUAUCCGGAUUUACUGGGUGUAAAGGGAGCGUAGACGGCAAAGCAAGUCUGAAGUGAAAUCCCGGGGCUCAACCCCGGAACUGCUUUGGAAACUGUUUAGCUAGAGUGCAGGAGAGGUAAGCGGAAUUCCUAGUGUAGCGGUGAAAUGCGUAGAUAUUAGGAGGAACACCGGUGGCGAAGGCGGCCUGCUGGACUGUAACUGACGUUGAGGCUCGAAAGCGUGGGGAGCAAACAGGAUUAGAUACCCUGGUA